CCUACGGGUGGCAGCAGUGAGGAAUAGUGGGCAAUGGGCGCGAGCCUGAACCAGCCAAGUAGCGUGAAGGAUGAAGGCCCGACGGGUUGUAAACGUCUUUUAUAAAGGAAUAAAGUGAGGCACGUGGGCCGUGUUGGAUGGACGUUAUGAAUAAGGAGCGGCUAACUCCGUGCCAGCAGCCGCGGUAAUACGGAGGAACCGAGCGUUAUCCGGAUUUAUUGGGUUUAAAGGGAGCGUAGAUGGGUUGUUAAGUCAGUUGUGAAAGUUUGCGGCUCCACCGUAAAAUUGCAAUUGAUACUGGCAGCCUUGUGUUCAGUUGAGGUAGGCGGCAUUCGUCGUGUAGC
rnacentral:rRNA from 1 species